UCAAAUUUGUUUAUGUACACAUUGUUUUGAAGCAGCUUUACAGAAAAUCAUGAUGUAAAAUGAGGAGUUAACCCAAAAACUGUAUUAAUCUAGAUUAUGGAUUUAUUUUGGUGGCUUAAAAUGAAAACACCUUAAUGAUUGUUUUUUUUUUUUUUUUUACAUGCAGCAUUUCACAAGACAUUAAAUGAAUGAUGGACUGCAGUUGUGUGGAUUAUUGUGGUGUUUUUAUCAGCUGUUAAGACUCUCAUUCUGACGGCACCCAUUCACUGCAGAGGAUCCAUUUUUGAGCAAGUGAUAUAAUGCUAAAUUUCACAAAUUUCAGUCUGUUCUGAUGAAGAUACAAACUCAUCCUCAUUGUGACGGCCUUUGGGAAUUCAGAGGACGCAGGAUUGUCCCUCAGUAGCAGACCGUACAGAGCUACCCAGUGAGCCACCAGUUUCACAACCUUCUGCUUGGUGUUAAGAGCAUACGCUGCCUUCUCCAGGUCUGUACCUUCUGAUGGCUCCGCUUGUGACAGGAUAUUGAUGCUGGAGGGCUGCACAGAGCUGGCUGUAGGGCAUGAAGACUGGAUGUGUUAAGAGGAAGUCGGUCACACUGGGAUCUGCAGAUGUACAAAACAGAGUCAUAAACUUCAUUAACAAGGACUUGUUUUCUUUACUGAGCUGUGUGGAGAAUCCCAGAACAUCCAAAUCAUCUGACUGCUGGAAUGUUUUGGUCUCUCCCUCAGUUCGUUCUUCUGCAGUGGUACUUUUAAUCGUCUCCAGCAUGUGUUCCAGGAUCUUCUCUGGUGUUCCUGACAUUACUGUGUACCUGAGAGAGGGAUUUAAAUGUCUUACUAAGACAUUAUUGGAAGAUACAGACAGAGUGACAACAGAUAUUUCUAUGCAUUUUAUGCGGACUCCUGCGCUGAGGUCUUCUCAAGAACCAGAACGACUUUACCGUGUUCCUCCAGGCGGACGGUGUUGGCCUCGACAUCCUGCAGUUACGUUCAGGAAGUGGCAGUUGUCCUCUCUCAGGAUGAUGGUGGCAGAACGAGGGGCGUCGUUCACCAAGGCCAGCUGCCCAAAGUCUUCUCCCUCAUGAAGCGUGGUCACCAAGCCCUGUGUGACGCACAUACACAAGAUCAUCUUUCCUUAAGAGGAUGCGCACAAUACUGUUCCCGCCUUGGCAUGGCUUUCAAAAACCAGCACUGCUGCCAGCUCCUUCCGAACCUGCGGGAGAGAAUGAAAGAAAUGAGGGAUGAAUGAAGAUUUGUGGCACAAACAAACAUGAUGGCUGUCAGCGAUUGUUGACUCACAGAUGUAGACAAGUGGGCCACAGCUUUGACGUGCAGAAGUUCUUCAUAAAUAACUUCCAGGUCCUCUGGAGUUCUCUGGCUUGGGCUAAAACGUGGACACGGAUUAUUACACACAGAAAUCGUAUUCUGUCCCAGCUUAAUAUCUUCAGACAACUAUAACUCACAAAUAUUUAGGCUUGAUUUGAUAUUGAUUUUAAAAGAGUCUGACAUUAGCGUGUUUCUAAGCCAAUGGUGAUACAUUAAAUGCAUAUUAGGUAGUCAAUUUUUUAUUAAACUGAACAAUUUUAAUUGGCUGAAUGAAAUCAAAGUUUCCGUCUGGUGACUUUAAAGCGCUCAGAAAUUACACUCUUCACCUUUAAGUGCUAGUACUAUAUAAAUGGUU